ACGGCGGAGAAGAUGAAGGCGUAACCUUAAAUGGCGGAGCAGGUAGAAGAAAUGAAGUCAAAUAAGAAACAAAAUAAAGAAAAUGGUCCAAGGGAAAGAGGAGAAUGGAGUUGACGUAGAAUGUUAAGAAUCUCGAUGACUUUUUAAUGUCUCAAAUAUUUACACACACUAUACAAUGUUUGAAGGCUGCACCUCUGUGCUUAAAUACGGAAAUAAUAGGAAAAAUAAACGUAACAGAGAAUAAUGAAUACAUACAACGAAAACACAUCGCAAUGUUUGCGUUGAAAGACCGUGGGAUUGAUGCAGAAUUCAUAAAGAACUUACAAAUAUUGAUAUCAGCUCGUCAGAUGGAAGCGGGUAGGAGAAUCAGGAUAACGGGACAAAGAUACUUCAAAAUGGAUUGGAGCUUCUUUUUCUCUCCACGCUGACAUAAGGCAAGUGUAGUAAAUAUAACUAAUUCUACUAAUAUUACGCGAAUGCGACAGUUUGUGAAAACUUCAUAUGGAUGGAUAUAUGUUUAUUACUUAUGUACAAAAACACUACUGGAUGAAUUUGGUGGUACAUUACAAUCUGUAUUAAUACUUACAUGGGGUAAUUUUUAUCGUAGUCGCUGGUAGAACCUAGAUUGUUUAUAAAUGACAUCAUCGGUUGACCCGUUUAAUCCUCAAACAUUGUGCUACUUAUCUGUGACUCAAGUUAUUAGAGGUAUACAAGUCAAGAUCAAUACAUGAUUACUUGUACAUAAUUAUAUUAUUCAAUGUACUGUUACCAUUACUGUUAUCAUUUAUCAAACGCACGCACUCUUUGGCGUUCUAUCACUAACGCCAUUCUGUUUACUCCGUAGAUAAAUUAACUAUUUAUUAUUCCCCGAAACUAGCUACAGCUCACCAAACACAGCAAGUAGCAGUUCUUUUCCUAAAACAGCUUCUUUGAUGACGCUGCCACCGUCAACGAUGCCUGUACAAAGUUGGUUAUAAAAAAUGUUAGUUAGAUCUUUACCAUAAUAUGCGAUGGCUAUUAUUAUUAUGAUGAAUGCACUGACAAGACUAGCUGCAUCGUCUAUGUGACCGUGUAUGACACAGACGGUCACGUGUGUAUGGUCUCGCGGCUGUGGGCAGCCGGGUGAGGUAUGUUCCGGCGCGCAUGGCAAGCAGUGAGCACCGACCCGUUGGUACACGGUUGGCUUUCGUGCUAGUGUAACACUCUUACUUUACACUAGUGCUUGUUCUUCUAGUGCGAAUGUUUUUGAAACCUUUGAUGGUUCAUUAUGUUCAUUGUGCACUACCAUACAGUGAGGCAUCUGUUCAGUUUGACUUGUUUAUAUUAUGUACAGUAUAUAGGUACCUAUUGUUCUUUUGAGCACUAUUACUCGUCUGAUGGAACUGUUUCGGGUUGGGUCGGCGAUGCUGGAUGAGACUGCUCGAAGUUCGUUGCUACUGGAAAGAUUAUAGAUCCAGCAGAAUAUAGCGGAGAGAAAUGACUGAUGACGCUACUGGGCUGACAAAAACCUACAGAGGUCAUCGUACUGGUGUAAAUGGAGAGAAUGAUGGCAGAAACAUCGACUUUAGAAGAUUGCGAAUGCUGAGAUUGUCUGAGAAAGUUAUUGAGAUAUUGGUUUAAUUUAUAUUUGUCGGAGAUAAUAGAUAUUUGUGGUAUCUUACUUUCGAUAUGUUGGUGAAAGGAGAAUCCUUUAUAUGUCGGAGAUAGGAGGUGUGGGCGAUACUUUGGGCGAGAGCCCUCUUCGUCGCACAUAUGUAGAGGUGAAAAAUUAUGCAACAAAAUUAAAACACUAGACACCAGAAAUUGAAAUGGCGAAGAACUAGCUAUAUUCAAUAAAAAUAAUUAUUUCUGGCGUUAAGCAACCAACGGUUUUCACAUCUUGAGCAAGUGACGAAAUGACGAUGAAAGGAUGACAAAGUUCAUGCUCUUUCUUAUCUUGGAAAUCUUCAACCGGUUUUAAGCUAAAAACGUUCACAAAUUCAGGCAGUUUAGCCUCAUUAUCGUUUGAACGUUCUGGUGGUUCAUCGUCUGCUUCUAAAACAUUUUGGGAUAUGCUAAAGCUAGGUUUCGACAAGCGACAAUAAAUUCGCCGGUGACAAUAAAGUCAACAAGCGAUAACACAUUCGCCGGUGGGAAUGAACCAACAGCGGGGACGAGCUCAGUGCAUUGCCGGUGAAGCCGCGGCGCGAGCGCACGCCGCGCAGCUUGUGCAGCGGGCGCUCGUGGCCCCCGAUGUACAGCGCGGACCGGGUGUCGGUCGACGAGUACGCGCCCAUGCCCGGCUUCGAGAAGUGCCCGUCGACACCCACCGACACUACGUACAGCGACUUCACCACUGAAAAUAAUAUUUCCAAGUGUGAAUAAUGUAUUACUGCACCGUUAGCGCAAUGUCUUGCAUUCAUUCACAAGGCAAUUCGUAAUGUCAACCAUAAAAUACCAUAAUACAUUGUAAUGAUGAUUGUGAA